ACUCCUACGGGAGGCAGCAGUCGAGAAUUUUUCACAAUGGACGAAAGUCUGAUGGAGCGACGCCGCGUGGAGGAUGAAGGUUCUUGGAUUGUAAACUCCUGUCACUGCAGAACAAGGAUACGCCAGUUAACAGCCGGCGUAUUUGAUGGUAUGCGGAGAGGAAGGGACGGCUAACUCUGUGCCAGCAGCCGCGGUAAGACAGAGGUCCCGAGCGUUGUUCGGAUUCAUUGGGCGUAAAGGGUGUGUAGGAGGUUGGGUAAGUCAGGUGUGAAAUCUCACAGCUUAACUGUGAAACUGCGCUUGAUACUGCCCAGCUAGAGGAUCGGAGGGGGUAACGGAAUUUAUGGUGUAGCGGUGAAAUGCGUAGAGAUC
rnacentral:rRNA from 1 species